CGUCCCUAGCUUAGGUGAGAACACCCACUGAGUUUAAGCAUAUAAUUAAGCAGAGGAAAAGAAACUUACAAGGAUUCCCCUAGUAACGACGAGCGAACCGGGAAGAGCCUAACAUGAAAAUCGGGUGGCAGCAUCGCCUGAAAUGUAGUCUGUAGAAGAAUCCUUAGCGGCGGACCGGGCCCAAGUCCCCUAGAAGGGGGAAACUGAGAGGAUGACAUCCCCAUUGGGCUGGGAACCUGCCGCACCACGAGGCGUUGUCGGCGAGUUGGGUUGUUUGGGAAUGCAACUCUAAUUGGGUGGUAAAUUCUGUCCAAGGCUAAAUACGGGUGAGAGACUGAUAACAAACAAGUACCGCAAGGGAAAGAUGAAAAGGACUUUGAAAAGAGAGUUAAAGAGUGCUUGAAAUUGACGGGAGGGAAGCAGAUGGAGGCCGACGAUGCGUCUCAGUCGGAUGCGGAACGACUCAAGCUGGUCUGCCGCUCGACUCGAGGUGUGAACUAGCAUAGGCCGUUGCAUCGGCACAAGCACGGGUGGAGUACUGCCUGUUGGUUUGCCAUUGUGGCGGUCGAGGAACGAAGCGUGCGCCCUUAGGGUGGGCCACUGUGCACCUGCACGCUCGUGGUGUUGGUUGGCGGGCUUUCCAUUCGACCCGUCUUGAAACACAGACCAAGGAGUCUAACAUGUGUGCGAGUCGGUGG
rnacentral:ncRNA from 1 species